GACGAACGCUGGCUGCGUGCUUAACACAUGCAAGUCGAACGGAAAGGCCCUUCUUUUGUUGGGUUCUCGAGUCGCGAACGGGUGCGUAACACGUUAUUACCCUUCCCUUCACUCUGUUAUUACUUCAGAAACCUGGGGCUAAUACCCUAUAGGCGCUCCUUCUUCAUUGUGGGGGUUGGAACUUUUCGGCGGUUGUGUAUGGACUCGCUGCUUAUCCGUUUGUUGGUGUGGUAGUGGCUUACCAAGGCUUUGACGGGUAGCCGGCCUGAGAGGGUGACCGGGAACAUGGGGACAGAGCUACGGCACAGACUACUAAGGGAGGCAGCAGUGGGGAAUAUUGCACGAUGGGCGGAAGCCUGAUGCAGCAACGCCGCGUGCGGGAUGACGGCCUUCGGGUUGUAAACCGCUUUCGCCGGGGACGAAGCGUGAGUGACGGUAAUAGGUAAAGAAGCACCGGCUAACUACGUG
rnacentral:rRNA from 1 species